UGCAAGUCGAACGAUGAACCACUUCGGUGGGGAUUAGUGGCGAACGGGUGAGUAACACGUGGGCAAUCUGCCCUUCACUCUGGGACAAGCCCUGGAAACGGGGUCUAAUACCGGAUACGACCUGCCAAGGCAUCUUGGCGGGUGGAAAGCUCCGGCGGUGAAGGAUGAGCCCGCGGCCUAUCAGCUUGUUGGUGAGGUAACGGCUCACCAAGGCGACGACGGGUAGCCGGCCUGAGAGGGCGACCGGCCACACUGGGACUGAGACACGGCCCAGACUCCUACGGGAGGCAGCAGUGGGGAAUAUUGCACAAUGGGCGAAAGCCUGAUGCAGCGACGCCGCGUGAGGGAUGACGGCCUUCGGGUUGUAAACCUCUUUCAGCAGGGAAGAAGCGAAAGUGACGGUACCUGCAGAAGAAGCGCCGGCUAACUACGUGCCAGCAGCCGCGGUAAUACGUAGGGCGCGAGCGUUGUCCGGAAUUAUUGGGCGUAAAGAGCUCGUAGGCGGCUUGUCACGUCGGUUGUGAAAGCCCGGGGCUUAACCCCGGGUCUGCAGUCGAUACGGGCAGGCUAGAGUUCGGUAGGGGAGAUCGGAAUUCCUGGUGUAGCGGUGAAAUGCGCAGAUAUCAGGAGGAACACCGGUGGCGAAGGCGGAUCUCUGGGCCGAUACUGACGCUGAGGAGCGAAAGCGUGGGGAGCGAACAGGAUUAGAUACCCUGGUAGUCCACGCCGUAAACGGUGGGCACUAGGUGUGGGCAACAUUCCACGUUGUCCGUGCCGCAGCUAACGCAUUAAGUGCCCCGCCUGGGGAGUACGGCCGCAAGGCUAAAACUCAAAGGAAUUGACGGGGGCC
rnacentral:rRNA from 1 species